AUUAACGCUGGCGGCGUGCAUAACACAUGCAAGUCGAACGAUGAAACUUAAAUGAAUUCUUCGGAAUGAUUUUAAUUGGAUUAGUGGCGAACGGGUGAGUAACGCGUGAGUAACCUGCCUUACACAAGGGGAUAGCCUCUGGAAACGGAGAAUAAUACCCUAUGAAACUAUCUUAUCGCAUGAAAAGAUAGUCAAAGUGUUUUAGCGGUGUAAGAUGGACUUGCGUCUGAUUAGCUAGUUGGUGAGAUAACAGCCCACCAAGGCAACGAUCAGUAGCCGGCUUGAGAGAGUGUACGGCCACAUUGGGACUGAGACACGGCCCAGACUCCUACGGGAGGCAGCAGUGGGGAAGUUUGCACAAUGGGGGCAACCCUGAUGCAGCGACGCCGCGUGAUUGAGAAGGCCUUCGGGUUGUAAAAAUCUUUUGUAUAGGAAGAAAAUGACAGUACUAUACGAAUAAGGUCCGGCUAAUUACGUG
rnacentral:rRNA from 1 species